rnacentral:rRNA from 1 species
UACGGGGGGGGCAAGCGUUGUUCGGAAUUACUGGGCGUAAAGGGCUCGUAGGCGGCCAACUAAGUCAGACGUGAAAUCCCUCGGCUUAACCGUGGAACUGCAUCUGAUACUGGAUGGCUUGAGUUCGGGAGAGGGAUGCGGAAUUCCAGGUGUAGCGGUGAAAUGCGUAGAUAUCUGGAGGAACACCGGUGGCGAAGGCGGCAUCCUGGACCGACACUGACGCUGAGGAGCGAAAGCCAGGGGAGCAAACGGG